AACGCACAUUGCGCCCCCUGGUAUUCCGGGGGGCAUGCCUGUCCGAGCGUCAUUACAACCCUCAAGCUCAGCUUGGUGUUGGGCCCCGCCGCCCCGGCGGGCCCUAAAGUCAGUGGCGGUGCCGUCCGGCUCCGAGCGUAGUAAUUCUUCUCGCUCUGGAGGCCCGGUCGCGUGCCCGCCAGCAACCCCCAAUUUUUUUCAGGUUGACCUCGGAUCAGGUAGGGAUACCCGCUGAACUUAA
rnacentral:misc_RNA from 1 species